UUUUUUUUUUUUCAUUUUAAUAGCCUUUUUCAGUUUCCCCUAACCCUCUCCUUCCCAAUCUUGUGUACACACACGCACAAACACUAUAUCUCUACCCUAAUAUACACACAUAUUACCAUAACCACAGUCCCCUUAUUGUUUUUUGCCCUAGUCUCUCUUCUUGAACCCACUCUCGCUGCUCUCUCUCUCUCUCUCUCUCUCUCUCUCUCUCUCUCUC
rnacentral:lncRNA from 1 species